ensembl:snoRNA SNORD107 small nucleolar RNA, C/D box 107
GAUUUAUGAUGACAUUGGACCUUGUUUGAACGUGAUGAUAUUAAAAUUUGAGCUUAAAUGACACUCUGAAAUC